rnacentral:rRNA from 1 species
GUGCACGCUGGCGGUAGGCCUAACACAUGCAAGUCGAACGGCAGCACAGUAAGAGCUUGCUCUUACGGGUGGCGAGUGGCGGACGGGUGAGGGAUACAUCGGAAUCUACUUUUUCGUGGGGGAUAACGUAGGGAAACUUACGCUAAUACCGCAUACGACCUACGGGUGAAGGCAGGGGAUCUUCGGACCUUGCGCGAUUGAAUGAGCCGAUGUCGGAUUAGCUAGUUGGCGGGGUAAAGGCCCACCAAGGCGACGAUCCGUAGCUGGUCUGAGAGGAUGAUCAGCCACACUGGAACUGAGACACGGUCCAGACUCCUACGGGAGGCAGCAGUGGGGAAUAUUGGACAAUGGGCGCAAGCCUGAUCCAGCCAUACCGCGUGGGUGAAGAAGGCCUUCGGGUUGUAAAGCCCUUUUGUUGGGAAAGAAAAGCAGCAGGUUAAUACCCCGCUGUUCUGACGGUACCCAAAGAAUAAGCGCCGGCUAACUUCGUG